rfam:Nomascus leucogenys chromosome 8, whole genome shotgun sequence.
GCCGGGCGCGGUGGCUCACGCCUGUAAUCCUAGCACUUUGGGAGGCCGAGGUGGGUGGAUCACCUGAGGUCAGGAGUUCAAGACCAGCCUGACCAACAUGGAGAAACCUCAUCUCUA